rnacentral:rRNA from 1 species
ACGGAAGGCAGCAGUGGGGGAUAUUGCACAAUGGGGGACACCCUGAUGCAGCGACGCCGCGUGAGUGAAGAAGUAUUUCGGUAUGUAAAGCUCUAUCAGCAGGAAAGAUAAUGACGGUACCUGACUAAGAAGCACCGGCUAAAUACGUGCCAGCAGCCGCGGUAAUACGUAUGGUGCAAGCGUUAUCCGGAUUUACUGGGUGUAAAGGGGGCGUAGACGGCAUGGCAAGCCAGAUGUGAAAGGCAGGGGCUCAACUCCUGGACUGCAUUUGGAACUGUCAAGCUAGAGUAUCGGAGAGGUAAGUGGAAUUCCUAGUGUAGCGGUGAAAUGCGUAGAUAUUAGGAGGAACACCAGUGGCGAAGGCGGCUUGCUGGACGAUAACUGACGUUGAGGCUCGAAAGCGUGGGGAGCAAACAGGAUUAGAUACCCUGGUA